rnacentral:rRNA from 1 species
GAUCAUGGCUCAGGAUUAACGCUGGCGGCAUGCCUAAUACAUGCAAGUCAAACGGGAUUAUAGCUUGCUAUAAUCUAGUGGCGAACGGGUGAGUAACACGUGGGCAACCUGUCCUAAAGACGAGGAUAACAGUUGGAAACGACUGCUAAUACUGGAUAGUAUAUUUAGUCGCAUGACUUUAUAUUUAAAGAUGCGUUUGCAUCACUUUAGGAGGGGCCCGCGGCGCAUUAGCUAGUUGGUGGGGUAACGGCUCACCAAGGCGACGAUACAUAGGGGGACUGAGAGGUUAACCCCCCACAUUGGUACUGAGACACGGACCAAACUCCUACGGGAGGCAGCAGUGAGGAAUAUUGGUCAAUGGGCGCAAGCCUGAACCAGCCAUGCCGCGUGCAGGAAGACGGCUCUAUGAGUUGUAAACUGCUUUGUAUGAGGGUAAAAUUGGGUACGUGUACCCAACUGCAAGUAUCAUACGAAUAAGGAUCGGCUAACUCCGUG